UCAUCUGCCUGCCUCUGCCACUCCUGCCUGCAAGGAGGAGGACACUCUGCACCUGUGCCAGACAGCCACUUUCCCGAGUUAUUCAUUAGCCUGCCCUGCCCCAAUUCCAUCACCUCUGGCCUAGCCGUAAGCAGUUGGCUUCCAACUAGAAGUGGCAGGGUCUCUGGACUCAGGGAAGAAGUCAGGGUAGGGUGGUUUCUGUUGUGCAGAGGAAAAACUGAUAUCCAGCGGGUCCAGCAAUAUGCUCAAUGCUAUGUAAUUGGCAGAUUUAGAAAAUGGGAGAAUUAGAGAUAUCAAGAUUAGUCUCCCCUCAGAAAGCAAAUGGUCAAGAUAGAAAGGACAGCUCAGUGACCUUAAUCAUUCAGCUCCCAUUUUCUCAUAAAGAGUUACAAAGAUAAGAAGGUUCCCUGAGGAUCCAAAAAGAAGCCCCCCCCCCCCAAGUGGACUCCUGGCUUGGUCCACUGAAAACACCGAAACCUGAGAGCCAGGCUAGAGCUGCUUGGCCGGUGGAGAAACAAACACAGUGAGGAACUGGGCCCCUGCAAACUGGCUGGACUGGUUUGAGAGCCAAGGGGAAGCGGGAAGGCCAAGGAGGCUACACUAGCAGCUUAUAAAGCAGACCUGAGAAAUUCCACACUAUAGAGGAGGCAGGGGGCAAAACCAUGGGCAGGGACUCUGUCCAACCUAGAUGUCCAGGCCAAUGCUCUGAAGGAAGCAGAAGGUGGAGAGGGAACAGAUGCACAAAGAACCUGGUUUGAAGAAGAACCUUAAACGCAGCUGACAAUCUGGUCUUAUCUAAAGCUCAUUUCCUCCCCGACCCCAACUCGCGCAGUCCUUCGUCCUUCGUCCUUCGUCCUUCGGAAGGAAGGAGAAACUUGGUUAUAUUUUUGGAAUAAACCAGAAAAGUGAGCAAGAUUCACAGAUGAGAGAGAGAACAGAGAAAGCGUGGACCUAGAGGAGAAGGUCGAGUCUGGAGUUUAGAUUGCAAGGCCGAGUGUGGAGUCAGGAGUCAAGGAAGGCAAGUCGGAUAACUUCAAUUCACCAGAUUUCACCAGCUUUCUCAAGCCUUGUUUAUGAGCACUUCAUUUUUAAAUAGCAGUAAUAACAUGUAAUUAUACUAAUG